GACGUGCUAAUCUGCGAUAAGCGUCGGUAAGGUGAUAUGAACCGUUAUAACCGGCGAUUUCCGAAUGGGGAAACCCAGUGUGAUUCGUCACACUAUCAUUAACUGAAUCCAUAGGUUAAUGAGGCGAACCGGGGGAACUGAAACAUCUAAGUACCCCGAGGAAAAGAAAUCAACCGAGAUUCCCCCAGUAGCGGCGAGCGAACGGGGAGCAGCCCAGAGCCUGAAUCAGUGUGUGUGUUAGUGGAAGCGUCUGGAAAGGCGUGCGAUACAGGGUGACAGCCCCGUACACAAAAAUGCACAUACUGUGAGCUCGAUGAGUAGGGCGGGACACGUGGUAUCCUGUCUGAAUAUGGGGGGACCAUCCUCCAAGGCUAAAUACUCCUGACUGACCGAUAGUGAACCAGUACCGUGAGGGAAAGGCGAAAAGAACCCCGGCGAGGGGAGUGAAAAAGAACCUGAAACCGUGUACGUACAAGCAGUGGGAGCACGCUUAGGCGUGUGACUGCGUACCUUUUGUAUAAUGGGUCAGCGACUUAUAUUCUGUAGCAAGGUUAACCGAAUAGGGGAGCCGAAGGGAAACCGAGUCUUAACUGGGCGUUAAGUUGCAGGGUAUAGACCCGAAACCCGGUGAUCUAGCCAUGGGCAGGUUGAAGGUUGGGUAACACUAACUGGAGGACCGAACCGACUAAUGUUGAAAAAUUAGCGGAUGACUUGUGGCUGGGGGUGAAAGGCCAAUCAAACCGGGAGAUAGCUGGUUCUCCCCGAAAGCUAUUUAGGUAGCGCCUCGUGAAUUCAUCUCCGGGGGUAGAGCACUGUUUCGGCAAGGGGGUCAUCCCGACUUACCAACCCGAUGCAAACUGCGAAUACCGGAGAAUGUUAUCACGGGAGACACACGGCGGGUGCUAACGUCCGUCGUGAAGAGGGAAACAACCCAGACCGCCAGCUAAGGUCCCAAAGUCAUGGUUAAGUGGGAAACGAUGUGGGAAGGCCCAGACAGCCAGGAUGUUGGCUUAGAAGCAGCCAUCAUUUAAAGAAAGCGUAAUAGCUCACUGGUCGAGUCGGCCUGCGCGGAAGAUGUAACGGGGCUAAACCAUGCACCGAAGCUGCGGCAGCGACGCUUAUGCGUUGUUGGGUAGGGGAGCGUUCUGUAAGCCUGUGAAGGUGUGCUGUGAGGUAUGCUGGAGGUAUCAGAAGUGCGAAUGCUGACAUAAGUAACGAUAAAGCGGGUGAAAAGCCCGCUCGCCGGAAGACCAAGGGUUCCUGUCCAACGUUAAUCGGGGCAGGGUGAGUCGACCCCUAAGGCGAGGCCGAAAGGCGUAGUCGAUGGGAAACAGGUUAAUAUUCCUGUACUUGGUGUUACUGCGAAGGGGGGACGGAGAAGGCUAUGUUGGCCGGGCGACGGUUGUCCCGGUU
rnacentral:rRNA from 1 species